AGCAGUCGCCACGUAAUACAGAGGGUGCGAGCGUUAAUCGGAUUUACUGGGCGUAAAGCGUGCGUAGGCGGCUUCUUAAGUCGGAUGUGAAAUCCCUGAGCUUAACUUAGGAAUUGCAUUCGAUACUGGGAAGCUAGAGUAUGGGAGAGGAUGGUAGAAUUCCAGGUGUAGCGGUGAAAUGCGUAGAGAUCUGGAGGAAUACCGAUGGCGAAGGCAGCCAUCUGGCCUAAUACUGACGCUGAGGUACGAAAGCAUGGGGAGCAAACAGGAUUAGAUACCCCAGUAGUCCCUGUCUCUUAUACC
rnacentral:rRNA from 1 species